AUGAUUCUUCGUUCAUUAUCAUGUCGAUUCCUCAAAAUCGCUCUUUGUGAUGCUGCGGAACCAUGGAAAUUAGGAUCUCAAGACCCAGCAACACCUAUGAUGCAAGGAAUCAUUGACUUACAUCACGAUAUCUUUUUCUUCCUCAUUCUUAUUUUGGUUUUCGUAUCACGGAUGUUGGUUUGCGCUUUAUGGCAUUUCCAUGAGCAAACUAAUCCAAUCCCAAAAAGGAUUGUUCAUGGAACUACUAUUGAAAUUAUUCGGACCAUAUUUCCAAGUGUCAUUCUUUUGUUCAUUGCUAUACCAUCAUUUGCUCUGUUAUACUCAAUGGACGAGGUAUUAGUAGAUCCAGCCAUUACUAUCAAAGCUAUUGGACAUCAAUGGUAUCGGAUCAAGUUUGGGGGGAGGCGGGCGUCGACCCAACCUUAUGAGUAUUCGGACUAUAACAGUUCUGAUGAACAGUCACUCACUUUUGACAGUUAUACGAUUCCAGAAGAUGAUCCAGAAUUGGGUCAAUCACUUUUAUUAGAAGUUGACAAUAGAUUGGUUGUACCAGCCAAAACUCAUCUAUGUAUGAUUGUAACACCCGCUGAUGUACCUCAUAGUUGGGCUGUACCUUCCUCAGGUGUCAAAUGUGAUGUUGUACCUGAUUGUUCAAAUCUUACCUCCAUCUCAGUACAACGAGAAGGAUUUUACUAUGGUCAGUGCAGUGAGAUUCGUGGAACUAAUCAUGCCUUUACGCCUAUCGUCGUAGAAGCAGUGACUUUGAAAGAUUAUGCGGAUUGGGUAUCUAAUCAUUAA
rnacentral:rRNA from 1 species